rnacentral:rRNA from 1 species
AUGAACGCUAGCUACAGGCUUAACACAUGCAAGUCGAGGGGCAGCAUGAUUGAAGCUUGCUUCAAUCGAUGGCGACCGGCGCACGGGUGAGUAACACGUAUCCAACCUGCCGAUAACUCGGGGAUAGCCUUUCGAAAGAAAGAUUAAUACCCGAUAGCAUAGUAUUUCCGCAUGGUUUCACUAUUAAAGAACUUCGGUUAUCGAUGGGGAUGCGUUCCAUUAGAUAGUUGGCGGGGUAACGGCCCACCAAGUCAACGAUGGAUAGGGGUUCUGAGAGGAAGGUCCCCCACAUUGGAACUGAGACACGGUCCAAACUCCUACGGGAGGCAGCAGUGAGGAAUAUUGGUCAAUGGACGAGAGUCUGAACCAGCCAAGUAGCGUGAAGGAUGACUGCCCUAUGGGUUGUAAACUUCUUUUAUACGGGAAUAAAGUGGAGUAUGCAUACUCCUUUGUAUGUACCGUAUGAAUAAGGAUCGGCUAACUCCGUGCCAGCAGCCGCGGUAAUACGGAGGAUCCGAGCGUUAUCCGGAUUUAUUGGGUUUAAAGGGAGCGUAGGCGGGUGCUUAAGUCAGUUGUGAAAGUUUGCGGCUCAACCGUAAAAUUGCAGUUGAUACUGGGUACCUUGAGUGCAGCAUAGGUAGGCGGAAUUCGUGGUGUAGCGGUGAAAUGCUUAGAUAUCACGAAGAACUCCUAUUGCGAAGGCAGCUUACUGGACUGUAACUGACGCUGAUGCUCGAAAGUGUGGGUAUCAAACAGGAUUAGAUACCCUGGUAGUCCACACAGUAAACGAUGAAUACUCGCUGUUGGCGAUACACAGUCAGCGGCCAAGCGAAAGCAUUAAGUAUUCCACCUGGGGAGUACGCCGGCAACGGUGAAACUCAAAGGAAUUGACGGGGGCCCGCACAAGCGGUGGAGUAUGUGGUUUAAUUCGACGCAACGCGAAGAACCUUACCAGGUCUUGACAUCCCGAUGAAAAACCCGUAACGGGGUUCCCUCUUCGGAGCAUCGGAGACAGGUGGUGCAUGGUUGUCGUCAGCUCGUGUCGUGAGAUGUUCGGUUAAGUCCGCUAACGAGCGCAACCCUUAUCCUUUGUUGCCAGCGAUUUGGUCGGGAACUCAAAGGAGACUGCCGGUGAUAAACCGGAGGAAGGUGGGGAUGACGUCAAAUCAGCACGGCCCUUACGUCCGGGGCUACACACGUGUUACAAUGGGGGGUACAGAAGGCAGCUACCUGGCGACAGGAUGCUAAUCCCAAAAACCUCUCUCAGUUCGGAUUGGAGUCUGCAACCCGACUCCAUGAAGCUGGAUUCGCUAGUAAUCGCGCAUCAGCCACGGCGCGGUGAAUACGUUCCCGGGCCUUGUACACACCGCCCGUCAAGCCAUGAAAGCCGGGGGUACCUGAAGUACGUAACCGCAAGGAGCGUCCUAGGGUAAAACUGGUGAUUGGGGCU